rnacentral:rRNA from 1 species
CGGUGGAGCAUGUGGUUUAAUUCGAAGCAACGCGAAGAACCUUACCAGGUCUGACAUCCCGAUGCUAUUUCUAGAGAUAGAAAGUUACUUCGGUACAUCGGUGACAGGUGGUGCAUGGUUGUCGUCAGCUCGUGUCGUGAGAUGUUGGGUUAAGUCCCGCAACGAGCGCAACCCCUAUUGUUAGUUGCCAUCAUUCAGUUGGGCACUCUAGCGAGACUGCCGGUAAUAAACCGGAGGAAGGUGGGGAUGACGUCAAAUCAUCAUGCCCCUUAUGACCUGGGCUACACACGUGCUACAAUGGUUGGUACAACGAGUUGCGAGUCGGUGACGGCGAGCUAAUCUCUUAAAGCCAAUCUCAGUUCGGAUUGUAGGCUGCAACUCGCCUACAUGAAGUCGGAAUCGCUAGUAAUCGCGGAUCAGCACGCCGCGGUGAAUACGUUCCCGGGCCUU